UACGGAGGGAGCUAGCGUUGUUCGGAAUUACUGGGCGUAAAGCGCACGUAGGCGGCUUUGUAAGUUAGAGGUGAAAGCCCGGGGCUCAACCCCGGAAUUGCCUUUAAGACUGCAUCGCUCGAAUCCGGGAGAGGUGAGUGGAAUUCCGAGUGUAGAGGUGAAAUUCGUAGAUAUUCGGAAGAACACCAGUGGCGAAGGCGGCUCACUGGACCGGUACUGACGCUGAAAUACGAAAGCGUGGGGAGCAAACAGG
rnacentral:rRNA from 1 species